CCCACUCCAUGCAAGCAUUCUCAUGGUCUAUUAAACCAAGAUUACCAGGAGUAACCAAAAUCUUGCACCUUAGAUGAUAGCCACACCCACGACCUUGUAAUAAUAAUGUUCCAUAGCUUUUCCAGGUCCAGCUCCUCUUUGGUAAAAACCAUUUUGUUCCUAUGUUGCCAAAUCCGCCAUGUGAUUGUGCACCAUAUUGACA
rnacentral:lncRNA from 1 species